CUUCAAAGCAGGUGUCCCUGCAGAGACAGAGCUGGAAAAUACUGGAGGAGGGAACCGCAGGUAGAUGGGAUGAGAGACGGGGGGGAGGGGGGACUUCCUCGGCAAAGUGGGGACAAGCCUUUCACAGCAGGAACAGGACGGAGGACAUGAAGGGAGAGACAUACCUAGAGGCAAAGAGGAAGGCUUUGCCUGUACAAAAAAAAAAAAAAAAGUGGAGAUUCAGUUUUGUCUUUUAUAAUAAAAAAGGAGCUGAGAUCCUCAAGUUAAGGACAUGAAGUCCUGAGUUUGGAGGCUUGAGAAAGGCAUAGUUUGUAAUAAGCCUGAGUGAGGUAUCCUAGCAGAGCAAGAGAAGCAAAGAAAUCUUGACCCAGCAGGCAGAUCUGGGGAAGGAGGGUGGGAAAUCAGGGGUGCUCAGCAAGACAGAUAUUUAUAUGUAGGGGAGGCGACUGCUAGCUCAGUCUCUCUGCUACUCAGCCCCCUGGUUCUUGUGUGAGAACUCCAAGUUCUGGGCACUCUGGGAACUGUCCUAUUCACCUAUAAGUUAUUCUUUCUCCUUGUCCAGCCACUCAAGAGCACAUGGAGCCCUUUCAGUGGCCCCAUAGGACUCCGUGGGCUUACACAUCUGGUGUACUCUCUACCCACUUCCUUUACCCCGUGCCUUCUCCACACUGACUCUCAGGAAGACAUCAGUGACCAAAGAGGGGCGUGGCUGCAGCCUCCAGACUGUGUUCCUGGAUAAAGCCUUUCCCAGUUAUUUCACCGGCGGCUAAGUGGGCAUCUAAUGAACACUGUGACUUCGUUUUCCAGCACUUAGUGUCCACCACUAAAACUCUGAGAACAGAAGAGGCGGAGGUUAGAGACACGCAUCGGGAUCAAUC
ensembl:lncRNA